GUUUAAAUAGUUUAAUAAAAAUAUUGAUUUGUGGUGUCAAUGAUAAGAGGUUUUCUUUUUAAACC
rnacentral:tRNA from 2 species